rnacentral:rRNA from 1 species
GAUGAACGCUGACGGCAUGCCUAACACAUGCAAGUCGAUCGGUAAGGCUCUUCGGAGUACACGAGAGGCGGACGGCUGAGUAACGCGUAGGAACACACCCUGCAGUGAGGGAUAAGACACCGAAAGGUGUUCUAAUACCGCAUACGGUCUUCGGAUUAAAGCAUUUAUGCGCUGAAGGAGUGGCCUGCGUCAUAUUAGAUAGUUGGUGAGGUAAUGGCUCACCAAGUCGAUGAUGUGUAGCUGGUCUGAGAGGAUGAUCAGCCAGACUGGAACUGAGACACGGUCCAGACUCCUACGGGAGGCAGCAGUGAGGAAUAUUUCACAAUGAGCGAAGGCUUGAUGGAGCAAUGCCGCGUGCAGGAUGAAGGCCCUCGGGUUGUAAACUGCUUUUAUAAGAGAAGAUUAUGACGGUAACUUAUGAAUAAGGGACGGCUAACUACGUG